ACAAUUGGGUCUCUUACAUAUUUUACUCAACAAUAUUAUUUACUCAACUAUGAAAAAUUGAGGGAGCUAAUAUUAAGUUGGCCGCGAUGUCCUGCGAAUGAAAUUUGAUUUGAUCUGAUAUCGUAUAAAAUAUGUAAUAGAAUAUUUUACGUAAUCAUCAAUGUGGCAGCGAGGAAUAAUUGCUACUAAAAAUAAAAUCUUCGCUAGAUUAGGACUAUAAAUGGAAUUAUAAUUUUUUCUGGAAAAACAAACGAUCCAAGAAAUCAAAGAAACGAGUAAGAAGUAUGGAUAAACGUACCAGGCACUGCAACGAACAUCUUCACCGCAUCUCUAUGUCCAUGAAAACUAAGUUGAGCAUGAGCCAUGCUGCAGUAAGAACAGAUUCACCUGCUGGCCAAUAAGCACCCCACCGAAAACCAGAGCAACCAGGUAUCUCUUGACAACGCCACGAAGAAGAGGCAAGGAUGAAACCCAAACGAAAAAUUCAAGCGCAGAGCAAGAGUGAAAUAAAAGCCAAGUUUAUAACAUAGUCAAAACGUCAUUUAUUUAUUGAUCAAUAAUGAUCAUAUUGUUCCUUUUUUUUUUUUGUUUCUUUAAAAAUGUACAAAUCUUUAUUUACAAAACUAUUGCUUUUCAAGCAUGACUUUGAAAGGUAACAAAUAAUUUACUUUGUUGAAUUCAAAUGUAUAUAAGCACUGUUGUAAGUGGUAAAGUGACUUAUAUCAUAAAUAUAUAAGAAAUAAGGAGAAAGAUAUAUUAUGUUAGUAAGAGAAAAAUAGUCAAAAAGGUAAAUUCUAUUUGUGUGCAGAAGACCAUAAUCUUAUCUCAAUAUUUAAUUAUUACAAUACAGCGCAUGAAAUGUAUGUAUAUCUACGAUUUUUUAUUUGGUUUUAAUUUAAAAAUGGGAGGUAAGGAAAAUUUGCAACAUUGUUUAAAACCAUCACAUUUACAAAUCGCUCAGCAACAAAUUACUCACAUUUGUUGAGAGCGAUCAAGAGUAAUUUGAGAGUCGCGACAAAAGAUUAUGGAUCCCAAUUGACCAAAGAGGACUCUAAUCUGGAAACAUGAGGCGGAUUCAAAUAUGUUACUCAAAAUUUUAAAUGUAUCAAAUUUCUCCCACAGAGAUAAAAACAUUUUGUCGUCAUUGCAAUAGCUUUGAUAAAAUAUUAAAAGAAGUUCACGUAUAAAAUUCAUAUCGCGACUAUAUCAUUGUAAAACUUUUCGUUGUAGAGACGAUCACAGUAUCGUAAAACUAUAGUUUGAAAAAAAAAAAAGCGUGAC